rnacentral:rRNA from 1 species
CCUACGGGGGGCAGCAGUGGGGAAUAUUGGACAAUGGGGGCAACCCUGAUCCAGCCAUGCCGCGUGUGUGAAGAAGGCCCGCGGGUUGUAAAGCACUUUCAGUGAGGAAGAACGCCUGGUGGUUAAUACCCAUCAGGAAAGACAUCACUCACAGAAGAAGCACCGGCUAACUCCGUGCCAGCAGCCGCGGUAAUACGGAGGGUGCGAGCGUUAAUCGGAAUUACUGGGCGUAAAGCGCGCGUAGGUGGCUUGAUAAGCCGGUUGUGAAAGCCCCGGGCUCAACCUGGGAACGGCAUCCGGAACUGUCAAGCUAGAGUGCAGGAGAGGAAGGUAGAAUUCCCGGUGUAGCGGUGAAAUGCGUAGAGAUCGGGAGGAAUACCAGUGGCGAAGGCGGCCUUCUGGACUGACACUGACACUGAGGUGCGAAAGCGUGGGUAGCAAACAGGAUUAGAUACCCGGGUAGUC